rnacentral:rRNA from 1 species
UACGUAGGGUGCAAGCGUUGUCCGGAAUUAUUGGGCGUAAAGAGCUCGUAGGCGGUCUGUCGCGUCUGCUGUGAAAACCUGGGGCUUAACCCCGGGCCUGCAGUGGGUACGGGCAGACUAGAGUGCGGUAGGGGAGACUGGAAUUCCUGGUGUAGCGGUGAAAUGCGCAGAUAUCAGGAGGAACACCGGUGGCGAAGGCGGGUCUCUGGGCAACUACUGACGCUGAGGAGCGAAAGCGUGGGGAGCGAACAGG